GGGUUGGUGGUGUAAUGGUAACAUGUGUCACGGCUACAGUCGCUCCCGCGGCAAGUCCCAGAUUCAAGUCCUGGCCAAUCUA